rnacentral:rRNA from 1 species
AUUGAACGCUGGCGGCAUGCCUUACACAUGCAAGUCGAACGGUAACAGGUCUUCGGAUGCUGACGGGUGGCGAACGGGUGAGUAAUACAUCGGAACGUGCCCGAGAGUGGGGGAUAACGAAGCGAAAGCUUUGCUAAUACCGCAUACGAUCUCAGGAUGAAAGCAGGGGACCGCAAGGCCUUGCGCUCACGGAGCGGCCGAUGGCAGAUUAGGUAGUUGGUGGGAUAAAAGCUUACCAAGCCGACGAGCUGUAGCUGGUCUGAGAGGACGACCAGCCACACUGGGACUGAGACACGGCCCAGACUCCUACGGGAGGCAGCAGUGGGGAAUUUUGGACAAUGGGCGCAAGCCUGAUCCAGCCAUGCCGCGUGCAGGAUGAAGGCCUUCGGGUUGUAAACUGCUUUCGUACGGAACGAAAAGACUCUGGUUAAUACCUGGGGUCCAUGACGGUACCGUAAGAAUAAGCACCGGCUAACUACGUGCCAGCCGCCGCGGUAA